AGACUGCUGAGUUAAAGGGUUAAUUAUUGAGAAUAAUAAAUUACUUCCUGGUUAAUAUCUUUAUCAUGUUGCAUACAAGAGAUUUUAAGACAAAUUUUAGCGUUUAUUACAAGUUUAUUUUUAUUUUUUUUAAUGGUUGUCAACGCAAGUUGCCACCGGACGACACCCGCCGGUAAUACAGCGGUACUUGAUCACACAGGUUUGUUUUUUGUCGAUACAGUGAAAGUCGGCGCAGGGAUUCGGGCCGUCAGUCCCUGCAAUAAUUAAUUAUUAAUUUAUAUCUUUGAAUUUAUGAUACAGAAUUUUAAUUUUUUUGGAAUAAUAAAAAUGAAUGAAUCUUACAAGUAGUGCAGCCGUUUACAUAACACCACUUUGAACAGCAUUCUAUAGAUUCCUGGCACUAAUU